rnacentral:tRNA from 1 species
GGAGAGGUGCCCGAGAGGCCGAAGGGACUCCCCUGCUAAGGGAGCAUGGGUCUCAACCACCCAUCGAGGGUUCGAAUCCCUCCCUCUCCGCCA